rnacentral:rRNA from 1 species
UAUGACGUACUUGUACUGAUUGAGAUUUUAACACGAAGUGAGUGGCGAACGGGUGAGUAACACGUGGGUAACCUGCCCAGAAGUAGGGGAUAACACCUGGAAACAGAUGCUAAUACCGUAUAACAGAGAAAACCGCAUGGUUUUCUUUUAAAAGAUGGCUCUGCUAUCACUUCUGGAUGGACCCGCGGCGUAUUAGCUAGUUGGUGAGGUAAAGGCUCACCAAGGCAGUGAUACGUAGCCGACCUGAGAGGGUAAUCGGCCACAUUGGGACUGAGACACGGCCCAGACUCCUACGGGAGGCAGCAGUAGGGAAUCUUCCACAAUGGACGCAAGUCUGAUGGAGCAACGCCGCGUGAGUGAAGAAGGGUUUCGGCUCGUAAAGCUCUGUUGUUAAAGAAGAACGUGGGUAAGAGUAACUGUUUACCCAGUGACGGUAUUUAACCAGAAAGCCACGGCUAACUACGUGCCAGCAGCCGCGGUAAUACGUAGGUGGCAAGCGUUAUCCGGAUUUAUUGGGCGUAAAGCGAGCGCAGGCGGUCUUUUAAGUCUAAUGUGAAAGCCUUCGGCUCAACCGAAGAAGUGCAUUGGAAACUGGGAGACUUGAGUGCAGAAGAGGACAGUGGAACUCCAUGUGUAGCGGUGAAAUGCGUAGAUAUAUGGAAGAACACCAGUGGCGAAGGCGGCUGUCUGGUCUGCAACUGACGCUGAGGCUCGAAAGCAUGGGUAGCGAACAGGAUUAGAUACCCUGGUAGUCCAUGCCGUAAACGAUGAUUACUAAGUGUUGGAGGGUUUCCGCCCUUCAGUGCUGCAGCUAACGCAUUAAGUAAUCCGCCUGGGGAGUACGACCGCAAGGUUGAAACUCAAAAGAAUUGACGGGGGCCCGCACAAGCGGUGGAGCAUGUGGUUUAAUUCGAAGCUACGCGAAGAACCUUACCAGGUCUUGACAUCUUCUGACAGUCUAAGAGAUUAGAGGUUCCCUUCGGGGACAGAAUGACAGGUGGUGCAUGGUUGUCGUCAGCUCGUGUCGUGAGAUGUUGGGUUAAGUCCCGCAACGAGCGCAACCCUUAUUACUAGUUGCCAGCAUUAAGUUGGGCACUCUAGUGAGACUGCCGGUGACAAACCGGAGGAAGGUGGGGACGACGUCAAAUCAUCAUGCCCCUUAUGACCUGGGCUACACACGUGCUACAAUGGAUGGUACAACGAGUCGCGAGACCGCGAGGUUAAGCUAAUCUCUUAAAACCAUUCUCAGUUCGGACUGUAGGCUGCAACUCGCCUACACGAAGUCGGAAUCGCUAGUAAUCGCGGAUCAGCAUGCCGCGGUGAAUACGUUCCCGGGCCUUGUACACACCGCCCGUCACACCAUGAGAGUUUGUAACACCCAAAGCCGGUGGGGUAACCUUUUAGGAGCUAGCCGUCUAAGG